AUUGAACGCUGGCGGCAUGCCUUACACAUGCAAGUCGAACGGCAGCAUGAUCUAGCUUGCUAGAUUGAUGGCGAGUGGCGAACGGGUGAGUAAUACAUCGGAACGUGCCCUGUAGUGGGGGAUAACUAGUCGAAAGAUUAGCUAAUACCGCAUACGACCUGAGGGUGAAAGUGGGGGACCGCAAGGCCUCAUGCUAUAGGAGCGGCCGAUGUCUGAUUAGCUAGUUGGUGGGGUAAAGGCCCACCAAGGCGACGAUCAGUAGCUGGUCUGAGAGGACGAUCAGCCACACUGGGACUGAGACACGGCCCAGACUCCUACGGGAGGCAGCAGUGGGGAAUUUUGGACAAUGGGGGCAACCCUGAUCCAGCAAUGCCGCGUGUGUGAAGAAGGCCUUCGGGUUGUAAAGCACUUUUGUCCGGAAAGAAAUCGCACUUACUAAUAUUAGGUGUGGAUGACGGUACCGGAAGAAUAAGGACCGGCUAACUACGUGCCAGCCGCCGCAGUAACAC
rnacentral:rRNA from 1 species